rnacentral:misc_RNA from 1 species
CUUGCCCAAUUACAUGGUUAGUGUCUUACUAUUACUACUAAAUACUUCUCUAUCCUUCUCUAUUUCGCUUCUUUUCCUUCUCUCUACACCUCGUCUGGUUUCUCUCUCAUUUUUUCCCAUUUUUUUUGGUUUUUUGUAGUCGCCGGAUUUGCUUCUGCUCGCUAGGGUUUCCGCGGGAUCUUCACAGCGAGAAAUCCAAGGCUGAGUUCCUGCUUCAGGUCUCGACAAUCGAGGAGUUUUUGAAGGAUCCUUUGAGAAUUAGGGAUUCUAAGGAGGUGUCUACUGUUCAGGUCCUUGUUCCUAAGGUUGAACCGGUUCCGGCUGUCCCUGCGCUGCCUUGUGGUGUUGUUGCGGCUGGAGAUGGCGGAGG